UACGGAAGGCAGCAGUGGGGAAUAUUGCACAAUGGGCGAAAGCCUGAUGCAGCUAUGCCGCGUGUAUGAAGAAGGCCUUAGGGUUGUAAAGUACUUUCAUCGGGGAGGAAAAAACAAAACUAAUAAUUUUAUUUCUUGACGUUACCCGAAAAAGAAGCACCGGCUAACUCCGUGCCAGCAGCCGCGGUAAUACGGAGGGUGCUAGCGUUAAUCAGAAUUACUGGGCGUAAAGAGCACGUAGGUGGUUUUUUUAAAGUCAGAUGUGAAAUCCCUGGGCUUAACCUAGGAACUGCAUUUUGAAACUGAAAUACUAGAGUAUCGUAGAGGGAGGUAGAAUUCUAGGUGUAGCGGUGAAAUGCGUAGAUAUCUGGAGGAAUACCUGUGGCGAAAGCGGCCUCCUAAACGAAUACUGACACUGAGGUGCGAAAGCGUGGGGAGCAAACAGGGAUUAGAUACC
rnacentral:rRNA from 1 species